rnacentral:rRNA from 1 species
UGUCCUACGGGACGCAGCAGUGGGGGAUAUUGCACAAUGGGGGGAACCCUGAUGCAGCGACGCCGCGUGGGCGAUGGAGUGCUUCGGCAUGUAAAGCCCUAUCAGCAGGGAAGAAGAAAGACGGUACCUGACUAAGAAGCCCCGGCUAACUACGUGCCAGCAGCCGCGGUAAUACGUAGGGGGCAAGCGUUAUCCGGAUUUACUGGGUGUAAAGGGAGCGUAGACGGCAUAGCAAGUCUGAAGUGAAAGCCCGUGGCUCAACCGCGGAACUGCUUUGGAAACUGUUAAGCUGGAGUACUGGAGAG